AGUGCUGGGAUUACAAGCGUGAGCCACCAUGCCCAGCCAUCUUUUUUUAUAUUUAUUUAUUUUUUUUACAUAAGACUACCAACACCUUCAAUUUUCCUCUCAAAAUAUUAUUUCUUUAAGAUUUUCUACAUGUAUAGUCAUCACUAAAUGCUUAAGAAGUCAUGAGUUACAAGGGCAAGCAACUUGACUGUCAUGAAUUUUCUUCCAUAAAUGUUGACAUAGUAUAUACAAAAUUAGCAGUAAGUCAUUCUCUAUUACUUAUAUUAUGCUUCUUGAAUUAGUUUUCAAAAGAAAAAACAGGAGCAGACAUUUCUCAUGAGGAGUGCACACUUGAAAUGUACUUGGCAGUAGGCAAACAAGAACAUAGUAGCUGAUAUAUACGCAUUGCAUCUGUUCAUAAAUACUAGCGGCAUCAUUUAUGUGAACCUUUUACAUUUUGAAAAUUGCAAAGACUCCUGCUGUGCUGUUUCUUUUGAGAAGCCGGCUGGUAUGUGGUAUUUAAUUAAGUAUUUUAAAGCCAUCUUUUCGUAGGCCUGUUCCACUUUAGCAAAAGUUAUGACAGCUUGUCUCCGUUAGUUUAAAAAAAGAAGGCAUCGUUUAUUCUCUCUCUCUUUCUAACUCUCUCACAAAUAGACUAUUAGUAUUUUUAAGUAAAGUAAAAUAGCCUAUUUUAGAAAUAUAGAAAUGUGUUAUUUUAAUGUGCUCUCAAUGUCAAUAGACAUAUAAAAGAAUAAUUUGAUGAAAAUAAUCUUUUAGUAUUGUAAUUAUUUUAAUAAUUAUAGUGCAUUAUUGAAAUAAAAAACACAUUUCCUCUUCCUCUGCCACUUUUUGGUAUAAUGGGACAUUCACAGCUUGAAAGAAACCACCACAUAACUAGUCAUUUCAUCUGUAUCUGUUAAAUGAAUUGCAUUUCCCAGACAUCUAAGUUAUCCAGAGAACAUCUCUUUGAUCAGUAUUACAAAUUAUUUUUAUUUUCUUUCACUUGCUUAUUAAUAAUUUUCCAUGUCACAUCUGUCAUCAGAAAAGGAAAGUCACAUUCAAUAUUUCUUCUCCAUUUGUCUCUUUUCUUUUUUCCUACUCAUACUCUGCAUUGAAAACUUAGUUAAGCAAAAAGAAUUGGUUCAAAUCUUAUUUGAAUUAUGGACACAUUAUUCUCAGCAAAAUAAAUCUUGAGUUUAAAUUCCAUUAUCCUGUGUAAAUUUUCUUUAAUCUUGGCAAAACAUGCAUAUUUUAUAGAUAAGACCUAUAAUUUUUUCUCUUGACUUUUGUGUUUGCCAGGAGUUCACAGACUUUGCUAACAAUUUUAACAGAUAUGCUUUAAUUUAAUAACUACAAUUUGGUAAUUAGCUGGAGUUGCAUUUCAAAGUGGCAUUGAUAUGAUUUGGCUGGAUUAAUCUGUAUUCUAGAAAAUAUGGGACAGUCAUAUAGAUACUGGUGUUGUUACUCUGUUCAUAUUCACACUUUUACCUUGCAUUCCUGAGACACAGAAUUUUUGAUAUACUGCCACAAUCUAUUCCCAAAACAUCACUGAUGACGAAACAAUAAUAAUCUUUGGAAACAUUUCCUCUCGAGUUCCAAAGUUUUCAGUCAGUAGAAAAAAAAGAAAGAAGACGAAAUUUUAAAGGUGCUGAGAAAAACCCAGGGCUCACAGCUGGUUUCAGCAACUUCGACUUGCGUAAGACCCCAGGUUUGUGAAAACAACCCAAGAAUCUUUGAACAGGAUGUAAUCAACCUCCGAUCUGCUGAGAAAUGACUGCAAAAAUGACUUCAGCUGCCAAAAAUAAUAAUGUGGUUUACAAGCAGCUCUUCCUAUGUCUAAGGAAGAACUAGUCACACAUGCGAGUUUUUGCUGGCUUGAGGAGAACAAGCAAGGAAAAAGACAAAUCCCACCUACCCUAGCCUAAAAUACACAGUGAGUCUCAGAACCCCGCGGAAGCUGUGGCUCAUUUCUAAAGGUGCUGGCAAUAUCGAGGAAGACUUGUAUCCACAAAAUUCCAAAUGGCCCAUAUCACCUUACAUCCAAAUAGCUGCAGAAAGAGAGAGAAGAAGGAAGGAAGUAAAAAUGAAGGAAGGAGGACUGGGACUGUGUUCAGAUGCCCUCCCUAGAGCAAUUAAAUCAGAAUUUCGGAGAAAUGGUCAAGAUUAAAUGAUCAAGUCAUUAUUGUGGAUUUAGAUCUAAGUGACCUGGCAGAAACCAUGGAGAUGAUCUUGGUAAACUCACCUAAGUUUUAAAUUUCCUCACAGAGUUUAAUUUUGCCCAUGAUCUGCAAGAAAUAUUUUCUCUUUAUUUGCAAGGAUAUUGCUCAAGCUUCUAUUUAUGAGCCCCUGAACAAUAGAAUAGACAGCCCUACUGAGACUCUUUUGCCUUUGUGUGGUACAAAGGGACCUCCCUCUAGGAGAAGACAAAAAGAAUUUAAGUCUAUAACUCAUUUAAAAAAAUCAAAACAAAGCAAACAAAACAGAAAAACCCCAGCGUUCAAUUAUUUCUGCUCUCUAUUGGAACUGGAGAUCCUCCCUUUUAACUGAAUUACCAUAUUCCUGAGCUCAGGAACUGCAGCUAUUGUGAAAUUUAUAAUCUGUUUAUAGUACCCAACAUAGUAUUCUUAUUCUUAAAUAAGUUCCUAAAUAUUUGUGAAAUGAUAUUUCCCUUAAUUCAUUCAUAUUGUGCAGUUAAUGGGAUUAUUUGUCAUUGGAUAUUGACUAUAAAAAUCAGUGCUGAAAGCCUUUACUAAUUAUUUAUACUAAUGUAUCAUUUAAUGUUUAUUCUAGCUUCCUAUGCAGACAGCCUAGUUAGGUCUGAUUGUGUCCAUGGGCCUAUCUCUAUAGAACAGGCAGAGACAUUCAUGCUAAAUAAAAUACAAUGAAGAAAAGUAAUUUUUUUGCAUGUUAGUUCUUUGUUUUGCAUUUUGUUUCAUUGAGUUGUAAUGGAAAGACCUUGAAGAGAUGAGCUAAAAAAAGGUAGGCCAUUCAAAGAUAUUUUGAUUGGAACUGUUGGGCGAGUGGAGAGAAAAUGUUGGAACACCUGAGCAUUCUCUCUCAGUGGCCUAGUUGAAUCCCAGGGAAUAUUUUGUUCUGAGGGUGAUUUAAAGACACUGAUAAAUAAGGAGACAUCCUGUUAAGCUAGUUAAAGUUAGACUGAAUAAGAGAGGUUAUUUUGGUACUAAUUUGGGAUAGUUGAGUAGUGAUGGUGAGCCCGAUAAGGCAGGGUAGCUCUCAGUACUCACUCGGCCAUUGGUACCAAAGGAAAAUCAAAGGAGGCAAAAAUGCCAUGUUAUUAAACAUGUUUUAGGAGCUAAGCAGGUCUGGAGACUCAUCACAGCCACCUGAGCCCAUAAAUUAUUAAACAUGACAUCUAUGCUAUUUAUCAACACAGGAAAAAGGUACAAAUGGUUUCUUUAAAAAAUGCACAGACAUUACAUGGAGACAUAUAUUUUUCCAAACCAGUGCUUAUCUUGAGAUAGUUUAGAACUGUCAACAAACUACUUUAAUGAGGCUGCUUUUUGAGGGAAAACAAGCUCAGUAAAUCACUCUGUUUUUCUUUGUUUUUUUCAUCCCGCAUGUAAAAUUUUAACCACAUUUGACAGAGGAAGUGAAUCUCUGGGCCAAAAUACUCGACAAUUUUCUUAUCCACAGAUAGAGGUAAAUGGCAACUAUAGCUCAUCAGUGACAGCAUUAGUCAUUGUGAUUUGUUUUUAACUUGUUACAGAGUGAAAUAACACUGGUAAGUUCUGGAAGGUGUUUCAUAGUGUUCCAAAAUGUGUCAUCCCUGUGCACAUGCAUUUGUUUCAAGGAUGUAAAGAGGAAAAACUCAAAGCAAUGUGUGUUCUGAUCAAGAAAUGACUGGAAAAGGCAGCUACCUGAUAUGGAACAGUCAAGAACUGAAAGUUUAUUUGGAAUGAGAGGUGUUGUCCAACUGCGAGACUGAGUGAUUUAAGCUGAGAAUAAAUGGGAACAUAAUCAAUAGUCACUCCAGGUAGGCAGUUACUGACAGCUGUCUUGAAAGUUUCAUCUCUCUUCUCUUUUUGCGGCCAUGUUUACACUGCAUCCACAGAUUGUGAUAUUGUUUAUGAGGGACAGAAAAAGUCCUUCCAUUUAUUCUUGUUCUUAAUGAAAACUUCUGAGUUGUUAUGCUUUGAAAUUACAAUGAUAAAGUGGCUCUUUGAGAAUAAAAGAUUCAAUAUAUUACAAUUGAGAAUAAAAUAUUUAAUAUAUUACAAAGCCAGCUUGUAUGUUGGACAGGUAAGCAUGCCUCCUGGUUAAGUAUUCUUUAUUACAUGUUUCCUCUAUGGUCAGUCAUCAAUGUUUAUAUUAGUUGUUUUCUCUUUUCCAUAGUUUUGUGGUUAUGGAUUAAGUCAUUGUAUUCUUCCUGGUCUCUACCAAUGUAGUUAUUUUAUUGAUAUAGACAUUAGGAACUACUCAAUAAAUAUGUGUUGCAGGACAAACUAUAAUUGCAAUGUGUCAUAUUUGGAUAAUACUUUACAGUUUGCAAAGCACUUUAGCAUACUUUAUUUAGUUAAACCACACUGCCACACAAAUGAACUGUCCAAAAUGUAUGCUUUUUAAGCCUCCCUAUUUUAUAGUGAUACCUCAUAUGUCACACACAAAUAUCAUAACAUAGAAAGAUAGACAGACACAUAACUACAUAAGCAGUAUUCCCUAAACUCAUAUUUUGUGCUUCAUUUAGGAUUUCUUACCAGUAUAAUUUUCAUUUGGAAAACCUUUCCUCCUCUUUAUAUUACAAAAAAGACAAUCUGAUGAUUCAGAAAUAGUUUGUUUUUCUUUUUCUGUUUUGGUUCCUGUAACUAAGCAAGACACUGAUGAGGCCCAUCACAACAUGGAGUACAACUGUAAAUAAGAUGAAGUUCUUGGCUUCUGGGAGAUUAAAAUCCACUUAUUUUCUUCACCCAAUCCUCCCCAACUAGCAGUCUCAUUAGAGAAUGCCAUUUUUAAGCACUUAUAUUAGAACCUUGGGAGGCAAGCUGGAGACUGGGAAGCCUUUACACUUGUUGAAACUCGUCUAUGCUUAGAUGUAAGGCUCUUUUUCAUCUAGUUGCUUUUAUAAUACAAAAAGCGAGGCCAAUUAUUCAGAGCAUAAUCAGCGGGUCCAGGGUAUUGAAACACUCCUCUUAACAACAAUGUCAAGUUACUUUAUUUGUUCAUGAAGCACUUGAAAAAUGAGAAAGAACAGCAGGUCUUCAAGAUAGAACAGAGAAAGAGUUGGCCUCGAGUGUUUUAUUACCAAAAGAGGGUGUUAACAUGCAUAGAAAUGUUAAAUCUCUACUAAAAAAAAAAAAAAAU